CCCAUAUCCUGUCCAUUAGACUCUAUUCAUUUAUACCAGGUUACCUUCAGACCAGUCCUGUAUUAGAUCAGGAUAUAACUAGGAAUGAUCCAUAUCCUGUCCAUUAGACUCUAUUCAUUUAUACCAGGUUACCUUCAGACCAGUCCUGUAUUAGAUCAGGAUAUAACUAGGAAUGAUCCAUAUCCUGUCCAUUAGACUCUAUUCAUUUAUACCAGGUUACCUUCAGACCAGUCCUGUAUUAGAUCAGGAUAUAACUAGGAAUGACCCAUAUCCUGUCCAUUAGACUCUAUUCAUUUAUACCAGGUUACCUUCAGACCAGUCCUGUAUUAGAUCAGGAUAUAACUAGGAAUGAUCCAUAUCCUGUCCAUUAGACUCUAUUCAUUUAUACCAGGUUACCUUCAGACCAGUCCUGUAUUAGAUCAGGAUAUAACUAGGAAUGACCCAUAUCCUGUCCAUUAGACUCUAUUCAUUUAUACCAGGUUACCUUCAGACCAGUCCUGUAUUAGAUCAGGAUAUAACUAGGAAUGAUCCAUAUCCUGUCCAUUAGACUCUAUUCAUUUAUACCAGGUUACCUUCAGACCAGUCCUGUAUUAGAUCAGGAUAUAACUAGGAAUGACCCAUAUCCUGUCCAUUAGACUCUAUUCAUUUAUACCAGGUUACCUUCAGACCAGUCCUGUAUUAGAUCAGGAUAUAACUAGGAAUGACCCAUAUCCUGUCCAUUAGACUCUAUUCAUUAAUACCAGGUUACCUUCAGACCAGUCCUGUAUUAGAUCAGGAUAUAACUAGGAAUGACCCAUAUCCUGUCCAUUAGACUCUAUUCAUUUAUACCAGGUUACCUUCAGACCUGUAUUAGAUCAGGAUAUAACCAGGAAUGAUCCAUAUCCUGUCCAUUAGACUCUAUUCAUUUAUACCAGGUUACCUUCAGACCUGUAUUAGAUCAGGAUAUAACUAUAUAUAGGUACCAGUGUGAAGCUUGUAGAGCAAAACGGGUGAAAUCAGACUUUUACAGGAUUCUACUGGAUCUGGAACCUCACGUUGUCAAAGACCUGGGUAAGAACCUCUCUACCUCUGGUUACAUAUCACUGGAAUAUAAACCUUAUCUAGUCUAUCACCUGGGUAAGAACCUCUCUACCUCUGGUUACAUAUCACUGGAAUAUAAACCUGAUCUAGUCUAUCACCUGGGUAAGAACCUCUCUACCUCUGGUUACAUAUCACUGGAAUAUAAACCUUAUCUAGUCUAUCACCUGGGUAAGA
rnacentral:lncRNA from 1 species